rnacentral:misc_RNA from 1 species
UUUCCGUAGGUGAACCUGCGGAAGGAUCAUUAUGGAACGCUUGGGGGUCCUCACCGGACCUCCGACUCCACACACACACUCUGUGAAUCCCACCCCGUUGCUUCCGUGGCCGUAGCACGCUGCGGGAGGUCUCCCCACACUCUGGUUUUUCCCAUGCCCCUUCGGUCUGAGCUUAACCAAGCACAACAAGCAAAACCAUGAAAACCUUCAGCAACGGAUCUCUUGGUUCUCGCAUCGAUGAAGAACGCAGC